CCUACGGGAGGCAGCAGUGAGGAAUAUUGGUCAAUGGACGAGAGUCUGAACCAGCCAAGUAGCGUGAAGGAUGACUGCCCUAUGGGUUGUAAACUUCUUUUAUAAAGGACUAAAACGAGGCACGUGUGCCUUUUUGCAUGUACUUUAUGAAUACGGAUCGGCUAACUCCGUGCCAGCCGCCGCGGUAAUACGGAGGAUCCGAGCGUUAUCCGGAUUUAUUGGGUUUAAAGGGAGCGUAGAUGGGUUGUUAAGUCAGUUGUGAAAGUUUGCGGCUCAACCGUAAAAUUGCAAUUGAUACUGGCAGUCUUGAGUACAGUUGAGGUAGGCGGAAUUCGUGGUGUAGCGGUGAAAUGCUUAGAUAUCACGAAGAACUCCGAUUGCGAAGGCAGCUUACUAAACUGCCACUGACAUUGAUGCUCGAAAGUGUGGGUAUCAAACAGGAUUAGAUACCCCGGUAGUC
rnacentral:rRNA from 1 species